GACGAACGCUGGCGGCGUGCUUAACACAUGCAAGUCGAGCGGUAAGGCCCUUUCGGGGGUACGACGAGCGGCGAACGGGUGAGUAACACGUGGGUGACCUGCCCUUACGCUCUGGGAGUAAGCCUGGGAAACGUGGGUCUAAUACCGGAUAUGACUCCAUGACGCAUGUUGGUGGGGUGGAAAGCCUUGUGCGGCUAGGGAUGGCCCGCGCUAUCAGCUUGUUGGUGGGGUGAUGGCCACCAAGG
rnacentral:rRNA from 1 species